AAACAUUCACAUGUAAUAGGAGGAAAACAUCAUCGAGAUUGACAUCGGCAUGAGAAAUAAGGCAGCAUUCAAUUUAGUGCGUUCAUGAGACCACAAAAGGUAACCACUUGAUAUUAAGCUCGGUACUAAGAGCGUGAAUAUGAGAGAGGAAGUACCAAGAGCAGGAACACAAUAUAAAUAAAUAAAAACUACGUAGCCAUAGCUUCUUGGGCAUACUACUUAGUUGCUUCAUUCGGCUGCCUUCUCGAUCAACUUCAUAGAUGGCACGUCAAUUAACCUGAUGCAGGCAAUGUGUUCGAUAUAUUGCAUAGACCAAUUUAUGUGGAGACAAAAAAUGCACUUGCAUUUUUGUACCUUAGCCUUUUAAAGCUUAUAACCAGGGAGUGAUGGUUCCCCUUUUCAAUUUUGAAAGCAAAGACACAUAUGAUACUCUCUGAUCCCUGCCGCUUUGACAGAGCUUGACCAAUUGUUUGUUAUUGUUGGUCUCUUGUCCGUAUCCAGGUGCACUCAUCCAACCCGGUAAUACAACCAUUGAAGCAUUGCAUAUAAAACAUGGCAUUAUCUAUGAACUGACCCACUACUACAAUGCCUCUCAAUUAUGAUGUGGACUUAAUCAAAGUGGUGCUACUUGCCCAACCCCAACUCCCACAGAAUCCCGUUUUUCCUAACCCGGUAAUAGAAAAAAAUAGGUAUCUCAGGAUGGAAAUGUAGGGACUAUCUCAGGAUAGAAAUGUAUCAAGGAAUUAAUGAACUAAGUUCAAUGAUCAAACCUCUGAUAUAAAUAUUUCAAUUAACAUCUGAUAUUACUCAGUAUAUCUCAGGAUGGAAAUAUAUCUGAGUAGGUGAUGGUAGAUACUCACAGUAGUAAUCACCCCGUAAAAUAUAUCUAAAAAGAUGACCCUAUAUAUGCAUGCCAUCGACGCAUUUGUUAUUAAAUAUGACGUGAAAUACCUUGCUUUGGUAUGAUAGAAACCAAAAGAUAAAUAUCAUGCAUUUAUUUGUUUGGCCAGACCUUUUGCCCAAAGAAACUGAAUCUCUCAUCACAACAAAGUUCAAGUAAACUGCAAAUUUGCACUACGAUGGGCGAGUGGAUAAGAGACAGAGAACUAUAGCAGCACAAUAAGCCUCUGAAGCAAAGAAGGAGGCUCAGUGAUGACAUUGACAGCCUUGUCAUACAACGACAAAAAUGGCUUGAGCUGUUCAAAAAAAAUGAUGAAAUCAAAAUGGGGGAGUAAUUUAUUUAGGCAAACACUGAAUCAAAAUCUUAGUGGUUGGUUUACCGACAACCAGUAUAUGAGGUAUGUUUAUUAUUUAUGGGACUUGUCCAUUUAAGCCUUAAUAUCCCAAUUACGGAUAUUUUGGUAAUUUAUAUGACGCACUGUAAAAAUAUUAAGCACUCACAAUUGAUUAUUUCCUAAUUGGUCACCUAAACACCCUUUAAUAUACUGUGACAAGUAAUGUUAUAAGUCAUCAAGCUCUUUAUGAUAUUUUCUACUUCAGAUUCCAAGUCGCAUUAAAUGAGUGCACAAAAGAGAAUAUAAAAAUAAAAAGGCUCAAGGUACUUCUGACAGAACUCAUCUCAGUGUUAUUUUGGUAUAUAGCUUAAGCCCUGGAUCAACUAAGCUAGCAUGGUAGAUUUUUCUUCUUAAUGAAAGCACAUAUAUGUAAGAGCAUGCAGAAAGGGUCAAAGAGCUAGAAUCCUAUAAAAUACAGAAUCCAUCUUUCGACACAGGGAACAAUUAUAUUUAUAUUUGAUACAGAACAUGCACUUGUGAAUUGGCAGGUAAUAUGAAGGUCAUGUAUGGGAAUUUUACCUUCGCUUUCAGUGACACAUAUCAGAUCAUCUUCCCCUCGACCCUUUCAUGAUGUGGUUGCUGCCGGUGCUCUAGGAAUAACAAAGUUGUUUUAAUAGUAAUUUUGGAAAACACAUGGUGAUUGGGAAAAGCAAAGUUUAAAUCACAUAACAGAUCAAGUUCAAUUAAUAUGGUGUCAUAAUCAGAAACUUUCUAUACUACCAUAUAAGCAUCUUUGAAAGAUCAAAAGAUCAAGAACAACUUAUAUGCAAUAAAGGUACGAGAGAGAAGAAAUCUUUACAUAAGACGGCUAUAAACACUGGAGCAUAAAUAAGCAACACCUUUAAAUACAAAUAAAAAGGGUUCAGGGUUCAAUGCAUAGUGGGCUCAGAUUCGCCUUUCCUCGAUCAUAUAACCUACCCCCGUCAUCUCUUAUCACCAGAUCAAUCUGUUUAUACAGUUGAGCUGCCCUGGUUAUCACUCAACAAGAUUGACCAUCCAAGGGCAGAACAGUAAGUAUCACAGGAUGAAAAGGAUUCUAGAGACAACCGCUCACCUCCUCCAUGGUGCUCGGCAGAGGGAGCCAAUAUGGCACUGCAGAUUUUCAAGUUACCAAGGCCAUCAGGAAGAGACAAAUGUAUGUGGUUGAAUAAUAAAAAAAUAACAAAGAACGUUGCCAUUGGGACUGAGCCGACCUACUGGUGCUACUUCUCACCAUGGUACACAAGGCAGCCAGCCCUGGCAUCUACGGAAAUGAAAGGAAAGUGCAAAAAAAGUAAGAACAUAGAAAAGCCAGAAAAGUAAGAACAAAGUGUGACUGAUAUCUACUUAUCCCAGGUUAACAAUUUGGGUUCGAUGAAAGUGUGAGUGUAUGCUCUCGGUUUCUUCUAGAUUAAUAGAAUGGACAUGACAAACAAGACACUGGCAUAUUUUUCAAAUGACUACUAAUAUUGAGUACUGCAUUAGAUACUUUCAGAUUAUGCUAAGAGACCAGACCAUGUACAACUACCUGGCUAAUGACGAUUGCCUACCUUCAUAAUUGCCUAUUGCCUUGAGCUCACACCAAGAUUAGUACCUGCAAAUAACACAUAGACAAUUUAGUGUCAAGGCAAAGACAAAGAAAAGAAAAAUGAAAUAAGGGAAUAUAAAUACUCAUUAUGUAACAAAACCUAAUAACCAGUUGUAGAUGCUAAAAAACUGUUUGUCUAAGUGUUCAAACUGAGGACUUUUGAAGGUCACCUGCUCUGAUAGGUAAAGGCGCUGACGAUUCUUAUAGGUAGUCUGCUCACACAGAAGACCCCACCUGUUUCCAAUCAAACCAAUAGAUCAACAAAUAAUUAGUUGCAAAACCACUAUUGAAGGCAAAACUGAACCACUAUUUAAGUCAAAACUACUGCAAAACCAAACCAGCAUGCUUUCAAACAGAAUGCCACCACUCUGGAACAUUAUUAGCUUCAAAGUACCCGGUGGUGAGUAAGAAUGCACCAGAGCCGAUGCUCAAAAAAGAAUAUCAUCAAAUCAUGCGGGGCGGUCUUAAACUCUACUCCAUGGUAGACAAACAUCAAGUGAUUGAAAUGCAGCAGAGUCCCUGCAGUACUUACCUAGCUAGCUGAGAGCGAGUGAUGCCCAGGCUGCAUCAUCGAUGAGACAAGAGGUGCGCCUUGACCUGGUGCUGUACCCCAGGGUUGAGAGCUCAAGAAGGAACAGAUGUUGGUUG
rnacentral:lncRNA from 1 species